AACCUAAUAUAUUUCCUCAAAAUCGUCUCUUGUUACUAUUGUUCUUAUGUUAGAGUUGAUGGACUAUUUUUCAGCUCCUUGUUUAGCUGAAUUUUGGAUUAUUUUAGGGGUUUUUUAAUGAAGCUUUUAGAGAAGGUGUGGGGAGGCUUGAAUGGAGGAAAGUGGGGGUGAGUUAUGGCUUCGAGCUUGUGUGGAAGGAUGGUCAUUAAGCAGCGGUCGUGAGAGAGAUCCGCUGGUUUGGUAAGAGGAUGGGAUGGGCGAUGAUCUCUUUUUUUCGGCGAGUCUGGGCGACUGGCGACGCCUGCUCGUUUGGUGGGCUGUUUGCCGCUGGUUUUUUGGGAAUUAUGACUGGGAGUUCUUCAAGUUCUUUUUG
rnacentral:lncRNA from 1 species